UGUAGCUCAGUUGGUAGAGCAUCUGACUCUUAAUCAGAGGGUCCAGGGUUCGAACCCCUGCA
rnacentral:tRNA from 1 species